rnacentral:rRNA from 1 species
ACCGUUCGGGUCGCCGGCGAGUGGCGGAACGGUGAGUAAUAUAGUACGGAACGUUACCUUUCAGGUGGGGGAAUAACGUAGACGAAAGUUACGCUAAUACCGCAUAUUCUGUGAGCAGGAAAGCAGGGGAUCGCAAGACCUUGCGCUGAUUGAGCGGCCGAUAUCAGAUUAGCUAGUUGGUGAGGUAAAGGCUCACCAAGGCGACGAUCUGUAGCGGGUCUGAGAGGAUGAUCCGCCACACUGGAACUGAGACACGGUCCAGACUCCUACGGGAGGCAGCAGUGGGGAAUUUUGGACAAUGGGCGCAAGCCUGAUCCAGCCAUGCCGCGUGAGUGAAGAAGGCCUUCGGGUUGUAAAGCUCUUUCGGCCGGGAAGAAAUCGCACAGGUUAAUACCUUGUGUGGAUGACGGUACCGGAAUAAGAAGCACCGGCUAACUACGUG